GGCGAAGUGGCGAACGGGUGAGUAAUACAUCGGACAUGUCCUGGAGUGGGGGAUAGCUCGGCGAAAGCCGGAUUAAUACCGCAUACGCUCUGAGGAGGAAAGCGGGGGACUCGUAAGGGCCUCGCGCUGCAGGAGUGGCCGAUGUCGGAUUAGCUAGUUGGUGAGGUAAAGGCUCACCAAGGCGACGAUCCGUAGCUGGUCUGAGAGGAUGAUCAGCCACACUGGGACUGAGACACGGCCCAGACUCCUACGGGAGGCAGCAGUGGGGAAUUUUGGACAAUGGGGGCAACCUGAUCCAGCCAUGCCGCGUGAGUGAAGAAGGCCUUCGGGUUGUAAAGCUCUUUCGGACGGGACGAAAUGGUUAGGGCGAAUAGCGCUGACUGAUGACGGUACCGUAAUAAGAAGCACCGGCUAACUACGUGCCAGCAGCCGCGGUAAUACUUUGGGUGCGAGCGUUUAAUCGGAAUU
rnacentral:rRNA from 1 species